rnacentral:sRNA from 1 species
GGAAGCUACUGCUAAGGGUUUAGCAACCUGUCUCGAAAACAGGAGUGCGAUUGCGUCGUAGGGGUUCAACUCCUCUAGCUUCCG